AGUCAGUGAUGAUUUUAAAGAUAAGAGUAGUGGACAGAAACGAUUUCUGAACAAUUUUACACUGAGGCU
ensembl:snoRNA